rnacentral:tRNA from 1 species
AUUCUAGUAGCUUAAUAAUAAAG